ACGUUCUGGAGUUUUUUUUUUUUAGUUUAAUGUUAUCACCAAGGUUAUAUAAGUCAUUGAAAAUUAAGCAAGCCUAAACUCCCACGUGAUUUAAGGAUGUCAAACGGGUCAAGCCGCUUGUCGGCUCGUCAAAAUAGGGCUCGUGAGCGGCUCGGGAUCAUAAAAUCACGAGCCCGAGCGAGCGCCGAGCGUGCCUCACCGAGAGGCGAGCGGCUCGUGGCUCGCCUAUUUUGAGUGACCAAAAUGAUCACUUUUUAAAAAAAGUUAUGGUCACAAUUUUUCAGUGACUGUUUGGGUCUCUAAUUUUUUUUAUUUAUUUUUUUCCUUCUAUUAUAAAUAUCCCAUCACUCCCCAUUUUUUUUUCAUAUUAAUUAUCUCCUCAUUCUCACUUCUCAUUUCUCAACUCUCUUUUAUAUCAAUUAUUGAGUUUUUACUCUCUUGUGCUGUUGUACAAAAUAUAUAAUAUCGAUUUAUUUUUUACAGUUUAUUCAGUUACAAUAUCAAUUUCAAUUCUCAAUUCUCACUUCAUUUAUAUUUUUACUAGUUAUUGUAUUUGGAUUUCAUCAUAAACAAUCAAACAAAUGGAUCAACGCUCAUUUGUUGAGAGCUUAUUCGAUACAGGAUGAGGGCCAUAUGGCGAAUCGGCUAGGAUUGAAUCAUAAAUGUUUCCAUUUGGUAGGUAAAAUUCAAUUGAAUCAUAAAUGACAACUGAUAAUUUUAUCGCGGUUCACUUCAAUUACCAAAAGGUCACAUUAAUUAGCUCAUAUUUUGCCCUCAUUUUUAUAAAAAAUCAUUUUGAAACAUCAUAUUGAACCACAUACCUUAUUAGAUCCACAACUUUUAUUAAUAUUUUUAGCUAUACGUUUUAUCAAUUUUUAUCAAAGUAUACGCGAAAAUCUGAUUUUUAUCCAGGCUAAAAAGUCAAGUUCUAUUCAAUCACUCAUAAAAAAGAUGUCCUCCAGACUACCUUAGUGGAAAAAUGAUUUUGAUUAAUAAAUUUUACUUUUUCUUAACUUGAAAACUUUUCAAUAUAUUAUAAAGUCGUAGUGGUUAAUCAUUGUGUAUAUUGCAUUACAAAUUGCAGCCACGUAAUUCUUCUUCUAAUCUUUUUGGGGUCAAAGGGACACUCUAAAUAACCCUAAAUACGUUUUCUAUAAUUGGUGUUGAUGAAAGGGCUGAUAGAUUAAAUUGAAAGAAAGGAAAAUUUUUGGACAAGGUCAUACUUCCUUUUAUUUUUAAAAUUUGCAAAAACAUGUUUUCUUGAGGACAAAAGAGCAAGAAAGAAGAGAAUGAAUAGAUUUUCCAAGCAACGAAUAUUUAAUAUGCUAUAUUUUUACAAUAUAGUAGAUG
rnacentral:lncRNA from 1 species